rnacentral:rRNA from 1 species
UACGUAGGGUGCAAGCGUUAAUCGGAAUUACUGGGCGUAAAGCGUGCGCAGGCGGUGAUGUAAGACAGAUGUGAAAUCCCCGGGCUCAACCGGGGACCUGCAUUUGUGACUGCAUCGCUAGAGUACGGUAGAGGGGGAUGGAAUUCCGCGUGUAGCAGUGAAAUGCGUAGAUAUGCGGAGGAACACCGAUGGCGAAGGCAAUCCCCUGGACCUGUACUGACGCUCAUGCGCGAAAGCGUGGGGAGCAAACGGG